rnacentral:lncRNA from 1 species
AUGUUAGAGCGGGAGUCUGACCUGAAAUCACAGAGAAAUGAACAACAUCAACAAUCAGGAUUACAGCUUUCUGUGACGUUUUCCUCAGGUACAGCAGUGAGCAGUGACCUACAGUCUACACAGCCCAGUGAAGUUAAACAUAUUAUAUAUUACAUAAUAUUAACAACAUUAGUCAAGCAGUUGUUUCUAGUGAAGAAACACCCAGUAAAUGUACCAAAGUAAUCAGAGUAAUAGUAUAAUGAUUACUGUAACCUCCCAUCUGUUAUAUUCUUUAUACACAUUAGUUUACUGAGACCAUGGAAACAGAAACCUGGAAUACUUUAUCCUGUACAACAUGUCAACAUAACUGAAGGAAUCACUCAUCUAAUAAAGUAAAUUGUUUAUGGGGUUGAAAAACUGCUAAGUAACCAACUGUUAACGGUACUGGAUCCAUAUUUCAUAGUCUGAUAUAGUAUUAUUACCAAAGUUAACCUUCAGAUAUUUGUAAAAGCUGCAAUUAUGUUUAAACCCCAUUAAAAAUACUGUAUACUGAAUAUUCUAUCAUUUAUAUUAUAUAUUGUGAUGUAAUUUAUCUUCCAACAUAAUAAAGUUUGAAUGUGAGACAGUAAUGUAUUGUGUUGCUUACAGUCAUUAAUACAGGUUUAAAUUUCACACAUACAUGUUCAUAUUGAUAGAUGACCAGAUUUUCAACUCUUUCAAAAUCUUCAUAAAACCUCUGUGAAAUAACAUGUUAUUUAUAUAAAACCACACUUAUUACUGAAUUUAAAAAUGACCAAAACCUUAAAGGUAAAACACUUUAUUUAUGUUUCAUUCAUAUUCCAGUUACACAUGUUGUAAGUAACAAAGCUAUAACUUUUAUGUAAACUGUGCAGAUCAUGUCCUUCAUCAAGGUUUAUGGUUUCUAGUAUACUGAAGUGUGAGCUGGUAAUGGAGCUCUGCAGUCAGUGUUCAUCUUCAUCAGUCUUCCUUUGGAUACCCAGACUGUCCUGAUGCUGCAGCUGUCUCUGUCCUCUGAUGGGUCCAGGAAAACCUGAGCUUCAUCAGGUCACCUGUAAAACAUGGAAGAUUCAGUGUUACUUGUAAGGCAGCAUAUAAUAUACAGUAUAAUAUAAUAUACAGUAUAAUAUAAUAUACAGUAUAAUAUAAUAUACAGUAUAAUAUAAUACAAGUACAACAGCUCAUUGUGGCUCAAAGUAGUCCUAAGUUAUAAAAUAAAAUAAUAAAGCAGUGUCUCUGGUGGUUCCUGGUUGCAGCUAACUGUAGUGAUGUGUUGUUGAAACAGUCUGAGGUUACCAACACAAUGUCUAUCUAAUGGCAGCAGAUACACACACAGGACAUUUACUGACUGUAACUGAUGUUGGAACAAGUUCCCGGUGCAAUAACAGACAUUUAGCAGUGAGCCUCAGUGUUUAUAAUACAACAGGAGAUUAUAUGAGUAUAGGAUGUUACACUGGACCUACACUUAUAUCGUCAGUAAUAGCAGUACUUCAGUAACGCUAAAUAAAUAGAUGAGAAAACUUUUAUUCGUCGGUUUGACUCCACAUAAAGCCGAGUGAGCAACCCCAGCUGCUACGUUGAUCAAGUUAAUUUACACACACACACACACACACACACACACCUGAAUGAAGCAGAGAAACAACAAAGCUAACGCUAGCUGAGAUAACGUUAGCACGUCAGUUACACAAGAAGCAACAUGAAAACAACCACCAGGCUCCAACCUAAUGAACGGUUAACGAGGGUUAUCGAUCACACUGCCCCUCAUAUUACAUCAUAAAGUCCCACAGACUCAGUAACCAUAGUAACACAGUGACAUCACAGAGCUGCUGUGUGCUAAUCAAAGCUACAAUGCUACCAAACUAAUGACCUCCGCUGCUGAAUUACACACAGUACGGUGUCUCCUUCUGAUCACAGCUGUAUUGAUCCACACGGUGAACAGAUACUGAGCUACCCAGCAGAUAAUAAGUUACCAGGUUAAAGACAAUUAAACAUAUCUGACGUUAUCUUCCCUGUUCUAUGCAGCUCAACGAGCUAACAGCUGAUGAGCAGCUACAGUUUGUUCACUCGGAGGUUUUCUGCUCUUUCUAACAGCGACACAAACAUAUUACUGACUGAGCACUUUAACUAAAUACAGACCAACAUAAAGCCAAUUACCCCCGACACAAAACCCACAACAGAGCCCCCCAGCACGAAGCUUGGUGAUUCACGGCUUAGACUUUGUGUGAAUCUCUAUAAAAUAUCAGCAGGGAGAAUAUGGAGACAUCUGCACCAGCUGGCUUAAUAAAUUAACUUCACCUUAUCAGUUUCAUGUUCAUCUUUUAACAUUUAACAAACAUUUAACAAACAUUUAACAAACAAUAACUACGUUAGCAUCACUGAGGCUCCUGCAGCUAACAGCGGUUAGCAUGUGCUAGCAUUACACGAACAAUGAAAAACAAAGUAUAGACUCUUAAAAAUCCUUCCAGUGACUUCCUCUGCCGUCUCUCCACAGACAGUUGGUACAAUCCCUCUUUCAGGAACAGUCUUUCAGUCAGUCCACUGUUGUACUGACCGAGGUUGUGAAAACAGUCCGACACGAAGGUUCACACACACCUUCCGGUUUUUCUGACUCUAGCCGGACAUUGCAGUGAAAAUGAUUUACAUAAAUUUAAAUAUGUAAAUUAGUGUUGGGCUGUGCAGCCAAUGACUGAACAGUUUGUCUGCUGAGGCCUUUGCCCAGACAUUAGGCUGCAGGCUGCAGGCUGGAGGCUGGAGGCUGGACUUGCUUGUUCUCCACUAGCUUGCCUUUUAUAGUAACAAUGGCGGAGCUCCCAUAGUCAACAGGAAGUAAAGAGAGGUGGGUGGCAACAGGGAGAGCAUGUGACAUCACAAACUACACACUUCUGAAACUUUGUGAUUUAUCUCCUGUAUUUUGACUGAGGCAGCCCACAAAAACAUGACUGAGUCAUAUUUUUUCACACUUGCCUGCUGAUAGGCCCUCCAGAGUCCCAAAUGUACAUAAUCAAAUGAUUAAAAAGUUGGUUUUGCAUAAUAU